GCUUACGGCCAUACCAGCCUGGGUACGCCCGAUCUCGUCUGAUCUCGGAAGCUAAGCAAGGUCGGGCCUGGUUAGUACUUGGAUGGGAGACCACCUGGGAAUACCAAGUGCUGUAAUCA
rnacentral:rRNA from 1 species